GGGGAAUUUUCCGCAAUGGGCGAAAGCCUGACGGAGCAAUCUCGCGUGAGGGAUGACGGCCUAUGGGUUGUAAACCUCUUUUUUCAGGGAGGAAGAAGUGACGUGUACCUGAAGAAUAAGCAUCGGCUAACUCCGUGCCAGCAGCCGCGGUAAGACGGAGGAUGCAAGUGUUAUCCGGAACCACUGGGCGUAAAGCGUCUGUAGGUGGUCCAGUAAGUCAACUGUUAAAUCUUGAAGCUUAACUUCAAAAUGGCAGUCGAAACUAUUAGACUAGAGUAUAGUAGGGGUAAAGGGAAUUUCCAGUGGAGCGGUGAAAUGCGUAGAGAUUGGAAAGAACACCGAUGGCGAAGGCACUUUACUGGGCUAUUACUGACACUCAGAGACGAAAGCUAGGGUAGCAAAUGGGAUUAGAUACCCCAGUAGUC
rnacentral:rRNA from 1 species